rnacentral:rRNA from 1 species
GGCGUAAGCGCGCGCAGGCGGUUUCUUAAGUCUGAUGUGAAAUCCCCCAGCUCAACCUGGGAGGUGCAUUCGAUACUGGGUGGCUUGAGUGCGGAAGAGGAUGGCAGAAUUCCACGUGUAGCGGUGAAAUGCGUAGAGAUGUGGAGGAACACCGAUGGCGAAGGCGGCCUUCUGGUCUGUUACUGACACUGAGGCGCGAAAGCGUGGGGAGCAAACAGGAUUAGAUACCCUGGUAGUCCAUGCCGUAAACGAUGUCUGCUAGCCGUUGGGGCCUUUGAGCGCCUUAGUGGUGCAGCUAACGCGAUAAGUACACCGCCUGGGGAGUACGGUCGCAAGACUGACACUCAAAUGAAUUGACGGGGGCCCGCACAAGCGGUGGAGCAUGUGGUUUAAUUCGAUGCAACGCGAAGAACCUUACCUGGUCUUGACAUCGUGUGAGGUUUCCAGAGAUGGAUUGGUGCCUUCCGGAACUUACAUAGACGUGCUGCGUGGGUGUCGUCAGCUCGUGUCUCGAGAUGUUGGGUUAAGUCCCGCAACGAGCGCAACCCUUUUCCUUAUUUGCCAGCGGGUUAAGCCGGGAACUCUAAGGAGACUGCCAGUGACAAACUGGAGGAAGGCGGGGACGACGUCAAGUCAUCAUGGCCCUUACGACCAGGGCUACACACGUGCUACAAUGGUCGGUACAAAGGGUUGCUACCUCGCGAGAGGAUGCUCAUCUCAUAAAGCCGAUCGUAGUCCGGAUUGGAGUCUGCAACUCG